GAAAUGCGAUAAGUAAUGUGAAUUGCAGAAUUCAGUGAAUCAUCGAAUCUUUGAACGCACAUUGCGCCCCCUGGUAUUCCGGGGGGCAUGCCUGCUCGAGCGUCAUUUCACCACUCAAGCCUCGCUUGGUAUUGGGCGACGCGGUCCGCCGCGCGCCUCAAAUCGACCGGCUGGGUCUUCCGUCCCCUCAGCGUUGUGGAAACUAUUCGCUAAAGGGUGCCGCGGGAGGUCACGCCGCAAAACAACCCCAUUUCUAAGGUUGACCUCGGAUCAGGUAGGGAUACCCGCUGAACUUAAGC
rnacentral:misc_RNA from 1 species